AAGCCGGUAAGCCGGGUAUUCAGCGGCGCAACGAACAGUGAGUUAUCUUUAAGCUGCACGUCGCCGCGCGCAUGAACCAACUGGCCGUCCAGCGGAAUAUCCAGCUUCAGGUGGCCGCCGGUCUGACCGCCCAGCUGCAGUUCAUCCAGCGCUGCGCCCAGCGACGAGCGCAGUGGCGUCUGAUUGAAAUAGUCGCGGAUAUCGGCCGCCUCGCCGCGCAGAUCGCCGCUAAUCAACAGCUUCUCUUUCAGAUAGUCUGGUAUCACCGCGCUGACGUUGUUCGCCUGCACCUUGCCCAACAUCGCUUGCUGCGCCUUCAUCCACAGGCUGUCGUUAACAAAAUCGAGAUCGAUAUCAAGCUUAUCAAUCGACGGCCAGCCAGGCUGGAAGGCGUAGCUGGCGUUGCGCAGCGGCACC
rfam:Pantoea sp. PSNIH2, complete genome.